rnacentral:rRNA from 1 species
GAUGAACGCUGGCGGCGUGCCUAAUACAUGCAAGUCGAGCGAACGGACGAGAAGCUUGCUUCUCUGAUGUUAGCGGCGGACGGGUGAGUAACACGUGGAUAACCUACCUAUAAGACUGGGAUAACGUCGGGAAACCGGAGCUAAUACCGGAUGAUAUUUUGAACCGCAUGGUUCAAAAGUGAAAGACGGUCUUGCUGUCACUUAUAGAUGGAUCCGCGCUUCAUUAGCUAGUUGGUAAGGUAACGGCUUACCAAGGCAACGAUGCAUAGCCGACCUGAGAGGGUGAUCGGCCACACUGGAACUGAGACACGGUCCAGACUCCUACGGGAGGCAGCAGUAGGGAAUCUUCCGCAAUGGGCGAAAGCCUGACGGAGCAACGCCGCGUGAGUGAUGAAGGUCUUCGGAUCGUAAAACUCUGUUAUUAGGGAAGAACAUAUGUGUAAGUAACUGUGCACAUCUUGACGGUACCUAAUCAGAAAGCCACGGCUAACUACGUG